rnacentral:rRNA from 1 species
GGUCAAGCGAAUAAGCGCACACGGUGGAUGCCUAGGCGGUCAGAGGCGAUGAAGGACGUGGUAGCCUGCGAAAAGUGUCGGGGAGCUGGCAACAAGCUUUGAUCCGGCAAUAUCCGAAUGGGGAAACCCACUGCUUCGGCAGUAUCCUGCAGUGAAUUCAUAGCUGCUGGAAGCGAACCCGGUGAACUGAAAUAUCUAAGUAACCGGAGGAAAAGAAAUCAACCGAGAUUCCCUGAGUAGUGACGAGCGAACGGGGAACAGCCCUUAAGCUGGAAUGGCUUUAGAAAAACAAUCUGGAAAGAUUGGCCAUAGAAGGUGAUAGCCCUGUAUUUAAAAGGGCCACUCCAGUGAAGACGAGUAGGGCGGGGCACGUGAAACCCUGUCUGAAUAUGGGGGGACCAUCCUCCAAGGCUAAAUACUCCUGACCGACCGAUAGUGAACCAGUACCGUGAGGGAAAGGCGAAAAGAACCCCGGAGAGGGGAGUGAAAUAGAUCCUGAAACCGUGUGCGUACAAGCAGUAGGAGCUCGCAAGAGUGACUGCGUACCUUUUGUAUAAUGGGUCAGCGACUUACUGUUCGUGGCAAGCUUAACCGUAUAGGGGAGGCGAAGGGAAACCGAGUCUGAUAAGGGCGCAUAGUCGCGGGCAGUAGACCCGAAACCGGGUGAUCUAGUCAUGGCCAGGGUGAAGGUGCCGUAACAGGUACUGGAGGCCCGAACCCACGUCUGUUGCAAAAGACGGGGAUGAGCUGUGAUUAGGAGUGAAAAGCUAAUCGAACCCGGAGAUAGCUGGUUCUCCUCGAAAGCUAUUUAGGUAGCGCCUCGGACGAAUACUACUGGGGGUAGAGCACUGUUAUGGCUAGGGGGUCAUCGCGACUUACCAAACCAUUGCAAACUCCGAAUACCAGUACGUACUAUCCGGGAGACACACGGCGGGUGCUAACGUCCGUCGUGAAAAGGGAAACAACCCAGACCCACAGCUAAGGUCCCAAAUUCGCUGCUAAGUGGAAAACGAUGUGGAAAGGCACAGACAGCCAGGAGGUUGGCUUAGAAGCAGCCACCCUUUAAAGAAAGCGUAAUAGCUCACUGGUCGAGUCGGUCUGCGCGGAAGAUUUAACGGGGCUAAGCAGUGAACCGAAGCUUGGGGUGCAUAAAACUUGUUUUAUGCGCGGUAGAGGAGCGUUCCGUAAGCCUGCGAAGGUGGAUUGAGAAGUCUGCUGGAGGUAUCGGAAGUGCGAAUGCUGACAUGAGUAACGAUAAUGCGGGUGAAAAGCCCGCACGCCGAAAGCCCAAGGUUUCCUUGCGCAACGUUAAUCGACGCAGGGUUAGUCGGUCCCUAAGGCGAGGGCGAAAGCCGUAGUCGAUGGGAAGCAGGUUAAUAUUCCUGCACCUCGCGUGAGUGCGAUGGAGGGACGGAGAAGGUUAGGUGUACCGGGCGUUGGUUGUCCCGGGGAAAGGCGGUAGGUUUGAAUCUUUGGCAAAUCCGGGAUUCUUUAAGACCGAGCACCGAGACGAGCCUUUAUGGCGAAGUCACUGAUACCACGCUUCCAGGAAAAGCUCCUAAGCUUCAGCUCACGAAGACCGUACCGUAAACCGACACAGGUGGGUAGGAUGAGAAUUCUCAGGCGCUUGAGAGAACUCGGGUGAAGGAACUAGGCAACAUGGCACCGUAACUUCGGGAGAAGGUGCACCCUUUUUGGUGGCUCAUGCGAGCUAUAGCUGAAGAGGGUCGCAGAAACCAGGCCGCUGCGACUGUUUAUCAAAAACACAGCACUCUGCAAACACGAAAGUGGACGUAUAGGGUGUGACGCCUGCCCGGUGCUGGAAGGUUAAUUGAUGGGGUCAGCCGCAAGGCGAAGCUCUUGAUCGAAGCCCCAGUAAACGGCGGCCGUAACUAUAACGGUCCUAAGGUAGCGAAAUUCCUUGUCGGGUAAGUUCCGACCUGCACGAAUGGCGUAACGACAGCGGCGCUGUCUCCACCCGAGACUCAGUGAAAUUGAAAUCGCUGUGAAGAUGCAGCGUUCCCGUGGCAAGACGGAAAGACCCCGUGAACCUUUACUAUAGCUUUACACUGAACGUUGAGUUCGUCUGUGUAGGAUAGGUGGGAGGCUAUGAAACUGUGGCGCUAGCUGCAGUGGAGCCAUCCUUGAAAUACCACCCUGUCGUGCUUGACGUUCUAACCUAGGUCCGUUAUCCGGAUCAGGGACCGUGUAUGGUGGGUAGUUUGACUGGGGCGGUCUCCUCCUAAAGAGUAACGGAGGAGCACGAAGGUACGCUCAGCGCGGUCGGACAUCGCGCACUGUGUGCAAAGGCAUAAGCGUGCUUGACUGCAAGAUCGACGGAUCAAGCAGGUACGAAAGUAGGUCUUAGUGAUCCGGUGGUUCUGUAUGGAAGGGCCAUCGCUCAACGGAUAAAAGGUACUCCGGGGAUAACAGGCUGAUACCGCCCAAGAGUUCAUAUCGACGGCGGUGUUUGGCACCUCGAUGUCGGCUCAUCACAUCCUGGGGCUGUAGUCGGUCCCAAGGGUAUGGCUGUUCGCCAUUUAAAGUGGUACGCGAGCUGGGUUCAGAACGUCGUGAGACAGUUCGGUCCCUAUCUGCCAUGGGCGUUGGAAGUUUGAGAGGGGCUGCUCCUAGUACGAGAGGACCGGAGUGGACGAACCUCUGGUGUUCCGGUUGUCACGCCAGUGGCAUUGCCGGGUAGCUAUGUUCGGAAGCGAUAACCGCUGAAAGCAUCUAAGCGGGAAGCGCGCCUCAAGAUGAGACUUCCCGGGGCACAAGCCCCCUAAAGGAACCAUGUAGACUACGUGGUUGAUAGGUCAGGUGUGUAAGUACAGCAAUGUAUUGAGCUAACUGAUACUAAUGAUCCGUGCGGCUUGACCAU